UCUCCUCCUGUCUAUAAUUCCAGUUCAGUGCCGGGAUCACAGGAGUAUAGCCUGUGUAUAGGUACUUGUGCACCUCAGAAGAAAGCAUCAGAUCCCCUGGAGCUGGAGUUACAGGCAAUCGUGAGCCACCUCCCUUGGGUGCUGGGAACCAAGCAGCCAUCACUCUUAACCGAGUCUUGCCAUACAGCCCGAGUUGGCUGGGAACUUACUCUCCUUCUGUACCCUCGCUCCGUGCUGGGAUUACAGAUAGAGUCGCAUGUAUUUCGAGACGGCUUUAGACUUACUAUGUGGACAAAGAUGAAACAGACCUGACAUGACCAAAGACGUCGUUGAACAUUUGCUCCUCCUGCUCCCUCCUGCGGCUGCAGUGAGCCACCGAAGCACAAAGACGUUGGGACCCUACAGGACAGGAGGUUUCAGGUGGAGCUGCAGUGGGAGAGUGGGGUCCCCCAGCACACAGUGGAGUUUCAGAGAAGAUGGAGACCACAGCAGGCUGCCCCAGAGCCACGCUGUGAGCACUGAUUUAGUUUCAGGAAAACAGUAUCAUUUGUUCCAUUAAAUUAAUGCUGUUAAUUUG
rnacentral:lncRNA from 1 species